GAAAGGAACCAUACCACGUUGAAAACACCGGUCAAGCAACGUUGGGCUGAGUCAGUACUUUCAUAGGUGGCUGAAUGGGAAUACAGGGUGUCUUCG
rnacentral:rRNA from 1 species